UUGUACUUCAUUGUGAUCGGACACAUCGGAAAACAGCAUGAAAAAAACUCCUGCUGAACUGAACAUUUUCCAAAUCAUGUUGAACUUUCAGUAGGGCUAAAGUUAAAACCAAGAAUUUGCAAUUGCGGCUCUUUUCAACCUAUGAAUCAUCGUCCUUUUUAAAACUUUUACUGCAACCCAAAUUUCACUUCAUUCCACACGAUGCAUAAAUCAUUCUUAGAAUUUGGUUUCCAUGUGGAAGACUUGCUGUUCAAAAGGUUUAACUAUCCAGUCUGUUGGCGGGAUGGUCGGUCUUUGCAUAUCUGUGGCCAUAUUCACGUUUAUUUACGAAACGGUAAAGACCAUGCGACAAAAGUUGGUGUCGUCGCUGAGCAAGAGCUACCAAG